GGAAACCGCCAGGUGCCCUCCUCCAGCCGGCCAUCCAGCGGCUCGUCUGAGCAGUGCAGCUCAGAGCGCAGCAGCAUCCCGCGGCUCCGCUCCGAUCCGCUCGCCUCUUCCUCUCCCUUUUCUUCCUCCAGCAGCCUCCACGUCUGUUUGAAUGUGUGCAGCUCGGGAUGCGACAGCAUUCUGGCUGCUGCGUUUCCACAGGAAAAAAAUAGAAACAAACUAAGAAAAAGAAAAAGAAAAGGAAAGGGGGGGAAAAGGCUCAGCUCUCUGUGUUUUCCGUCCGUCUUUUUGCUGCUCUUACUGUCUUUUGCCGACAGUGAUAAAGAGAGCAGUAAAAAUCGCGGGUCCCUGUUUUUAUUGUUUUUGGAAUAAGAACAUAAGCUUUGCUGUUUUCUGACUUUGAGACAGAAGAGAGGAGAGACUCCUUAGGAAUUUCCCAAGGAAUUUAUCCGGACGGCUCCGUCACCGGAGCUUUAUGUUCUCCUGCCUGGGUGCAUAAUGUUACCAACUGUUCCACACUAGGGAAAUUCUGAGGAGUUCUGUUCUGUCUUCGCUCUUUGUCUGAGGCAGCAGUCGCAACCGUUUGUUCCAAACAGGGUGGGGGUGAAGGGGGUUUUAGCUGCACCGGUGUGUCGGCGAGGUCGGCCUGCGGCAGCAGGGGCGGCAUGGUGGCACCUGCAUGAGCCCGACGGAGAAGCCUCGAUUCUCUCGUUCUCUUUCCUGAGAUGUCAACCACAGGAUGAGGCCUGAGGCCAGGUCUCGGGAGAGAGAAUGUUCCAUGACUUUCACACCUUCAACCUCAAGCUCACGAUCUGCCGGGAAGUUUGCUUGAGUGGUGAAAGGUAGGUUUUCUGAUGGAAGAUUUUCUGCUUGUUCACCAAAU